rnacentral:rRNA from 1 species
UACAGAGACUGCAAGCGAUAUUCGGAUUCACUGGGCGUAAAGGGUGCGCAGGCGGCCAAGUGUGUGAGGCGUGAAAGCCCGGGGCUUAACCCCGGAAUUGCACCUCAAACUACAUGGCUAGAGCAUUGGAGAGGGUAGCAGAAUUCACGGUGUAGCAGUGAAAUGCGUAGAUAUCGUGAGGAAUACCAGAGGCGAAGGCGGCUACCUGGACAAUUGCUGACGCUCAGGCACGAAAGCGUGGGGAGCAAAAGGG